rnacentral:lncRNA from 1 species
AUAUAGUCGUGCACGAGAUGCUUUGAGACUGAUAUAAAUUUAAUUCAAACAACAGUUUAAUCCAUUGAAUGGUUGUGUUGUUGGACAAUGUGUCAGAAGACAUUUUUAUAACUUUCUUCUACUUCGAUUCUAUUCCAAAAAUCAUGCAACUAAAAUGCUCAAAUUUAUAAAACCUCCAAAUAGUUUUUUUUUUUUUGUAUAGCGGGAUAUUUCAAUCAAUAUUCUAAAGUAGGAAAUAAACCUCGAUGUUAUUACAACUUGCUCGUGCACCUUAAUCAUUUAAAUGUUUUCCUUUUUUCUUCUUUCUUAUCCUCUCUCUCUCUA